rnacentral:lncRNA from 1 species
GUGUGUGUGUGUGUGUGUGUGUGUGUGUGUGUGAGUGAGUCACCAGAGAAAACAUUGAUGAAACGAGAGGAAAAGGCCUUUUGGAGUUACUUUCUCAUCCUGUGUCUUUUUACAGAGACAUACAGCCUUCUCUUUCUGCCAAUGGCUGUGUGCUGUAACUCUGCUGUCUGUAAAGAAUGUGUCCUGGGCUGAUGUUGCCUUGAGGUCACAGAUCUAGGAAUGUAGGUUCUGGGAAACAGACCUUAGAUUAGUGUCUAGGGGUAACUUCCUUCUACUCAGCCUGGAAGUGCUGUGGCAUUAAAGAUGAAGUUGGACUGGUACCCUCCCGCUCUAAUGACCAUGGGAGGAGGGACUGAGACCAGUCACUGCCAGGGGAAAGGAGGAACUGAGACCACUCACUGCCAGGGGAAAGGAGGGACUGAGACCACUCACUGCCAGGGGAAAGGAGGAACUGAGACCACUCACUGCCAGGGGAAAGGAGGAACUGAGACCACUCACUGCCAGGGGAAAGGAGGAACUGAGACCAGUCACUGCCAGGGGAAAGGAGGAACUGAGACCAGUCACUGCCAGGGGAAAGGAGGAACUGAGACCACUCACUGCCAGGGGAAAGGAGGGACUGAGACCACUCACUGCCAGGGGAAAGGAGGAACUGAGACCACUCACUGCCAGGGGAAUGUAAUGAAGCCAAUUAGGAUAGAGAAAGGGGGAGAGAAGAGGAGAGGAAAAGAGGGGAGAGGAGGAGUAGAGGGAGAGGAGAGGAGGAGUAGAGAGAGAGGAGAGGAGGAGUGGAGGGAGAGGAGAGGAGGAGUAGAGAGAGAGGAGAGGAGGAGUAGAGGGAGAGGAGAGGAGGAGAGGAGGGAGAGGAGGGAAGGAGUAGAGGUAGAGGAGGGAAGGAGUAGAGAGAGAGGAGGGAAGGAGUAGAGGGAGAGGAGGGAAGGAGAGGAGGGAAGGAGUAGAGGGAGAGGAGGGAAGGAGUAGAGAGAGAGGAGGGAAAGGGGAGAGGAGGAGUAGAGGGAGAGGAGAGGAGGAGUAGAGAGAGAGGAGAGGAGGAGUAGAGAGAGAUGAGAGGAGGGAGAGGAGAGGAGGAGUAGAGAGAGAGGAGAGGAGGAGUAGAGGGAGAGGAGAGGAGGAGAGGAGGGAGAGGAGGGAAGGAGUAGAGGUAGAGGAGGGAAGGAGUAGAGAGAGAGGAGGGAAGGAGUAGAGGGAGAGGAGGGAAGGAGAGGAGGGAAGGAGUAGAGGGAGAGGAGGGAAGGAGUAGAGAGAGAGGAGGGAAGGAGUAGAGGGAGAGGAGGGAAGGAGUAGAGAGAGAGGAGAGGAGGAGUAGAGAGAGAGGAGAGGAGGAGGAGAGGGAGAGGAGAGGAGGAGAGGAGAGGAGGGAAGGAGUAGAGGGAGAGGAGGGAAGGAGUAGAGAGAGAGGAGGGAAGGAGUAGAGGGAGAGGAGGGAAGGAGUAGAGAGAGAGGAGAGGAGGAGUAGAGAGAGAGGAGAGGAGGAGGAGAGGGAGAGGAGAGGAGGAGUAGAGAGAGGAGAGGAGGAGUAGAGAGAGAGGAGAGGAGGGAGAGGAGAGGAGUAGAGAGAGAGAGGAGAGGAGGAGUAGAGGGAGAGGAGAGGAGGAGUAGAGAGAGGAAAGGAGGAGUAGAGGGAGAGGAGAGGAGGAGUAGAGAGAGGAGAGGAGGAAGAGAGAGGAGAGGAGGGAGAGGAGAGGAGGAGUAGAGGGAGAGGAGAGGAGGAGUAGAGAGAGGAAAGGAGGAGUAGAGGGAGAGGAGAGGAGGAGUAGAGGGAGAGGAGAGGAGGAGUAGAGGGAGAGGAGAGGAGGAGUAGAGGGAGAGGAGAGGAGGAGUAGAGAGAGGAGAGGAGGAGUAGAGAGAGAGGAGAGGAGGGAGAGGAGAGGAGGAGUAGAGAGAGAGAGGAGAGGAGGAGUAGAGGGAGAGGAGAGGAGGAGUAGAGAGAGAGGAGAGGUGAAGAAAGGAGGGUAGGGAGAGAAGAAGGAGAGGGUAUGAGGAAUGGGCGAUCUAUCCCUCUCCUAUCACGUUCCACCCUGUUUGUCUCUCAGUGCUCCCAUCCUUCUACCUUCUUUCUCUCUCCCUCUCUCUCUCCCUCUCUCUCUCCCUCUCUCUCUGUCUCCACAUAAUCCUCUUUUGUUUGACUCUGUCAUACUCUUUCUGCUUUUUAAUCUGGAUAAUUAGGUUUAUACCUCUCCCUGGUUGUUACUCUCCCUUAGACAAUAGUGGAAUAAAGUGCAAAAUAAUGUUCCUAUUAUGGAACAAUCAUUAUUUCAUCUCACCAUGAGUUAUUUUCUGGGUGUACUUUGUCUGAUCUUGGCAAUGUUUUUAAUUGUAUUAUUACUUUUUAAAAUCCAGAAACAUUCAACCCUGAGGUAAUGACAUCACCACCACUGAUUGACAAGAGCCAAUUUGAUCAUUCUUAGUUAAUUGUAAUUCUGUUGUUGUUGAGACAGGAUCCAUGCCUCCAUUGGACUGACUUUAUCAAUAUCAGUGGGUGAGUGCAUCUCCAUGCUCAAAACUGGCUUCCUCUCCCUGUCUCUUCUCUUUCAUCUCUACUGAUCUGAAAACACAGGAUAGGUCAAAACAAUGUGGAUGGAAUUUGCUCCCAGCCGUCCAGUUCUCUGGGAUCAGUGCAGAUGAAUGAAAGGAGACGAGGAGAUGAGAGGAAGGGUUAGACUAUUGCGAUGCAGCCG